UGUAUGUUCAAUGACAUAUUCCAUGACAUAUUUUCUUCACUUUUAUUGUUAUUUUGGGUUAUAUUUUAUAACACUUUUCACAUUCCAGCUAUUUUAUACUUGAUGUAUUCUGUUACUUUGUCAUUUACACAUGACUAGCUAGUUUCAUCUCUUUGCACUAGGCAUCGUCCUGAGAAGUGAGACUUAAUUUUUAUUAUUACAAGUGUGCAAGAGAAAGAAGAGCUUCAUUUCUUUAUAUAGUUGUGCAUGCACUGUACAGAAAGAUGAAAGGGUAGAGAUUACUGGAGUCCUUAGGGUGAUAGAUUAAUAAGGUGCAGUCAUAAAGCUACUAACAUGGCUGAUUGAUAUGUGGUAUUCUUUCUGGUAUCUUGCAUUUAUUUGGCGUCAGUGUAGUAGGUGGAAAUAUGCCCAUUUACGUUCAAAACGUUCUUGACGUGCUGACAUUCUUUUGGGAAAGUUUCACGUGUUACCUCUUUUUGCCUACUCAUAUUUAGACAAAGGUUGAGUGUCUCUUGAAUUCCUUUUAAUGUUGUAAGGCAUAUAUCUUCUCUUAUAUAAAACAUUUGCUGAAAGCAGAGGUGUGCACAACAUUAGACAUGACUAUUAAUCUUCAUCAGUUUCUUGGUUAUGUUGGUAGCUGUUCUCUUGCUAAGUUUGCCUGCACUUUUAAGACAAUUUUGGACCUUGCCCUGUUUUCAGGAAGGUUUUGUCUGCUGCAUCUAACCGUUUUCGGCUAGUUAUUUCCACAUGUAUUUCUAUAGCAACUUUUCGUCUUUGUGCAUGGUUUUAGUGUUUUCUUUUCUAGUGUUUUAUCAGGUGUUGCACUAACACUCUGCCAAUCGGAUCCUGUACUAAAUGAUGGACGUAGAAAACAUGAACAAUCCAGAGAAGCUGUUUUGGAUGGAGUACGAAAGAGUUUCCUCGAGAAGGUUGUGGCAGAGCAUGAAGAUGAUGAUGGAUCUUCAAGUGAUUAAUUGUGUAGUUUUCUUAAUGUCUUUGUGGCUUGGUAGAACAUGUAUGGUUUGUAGCAGUAACUCAUCUAGUGGCUACUUUUUGUUUUCAGUUUUUACUUGACGAAAUCUGAUGCGUGGAUUAAUCCAUUCGUCUUAUUUGCUUGAUACCAGUGAAUUCCGGCAAGGAUUUAACUUACGACAGACAAACAAUGUAGAAUCUUUGGUAUACAGUUAUUGAUGAUCUUGAGAAAUGUUUUCAGUUA